AGCAUGUGCCAUAUUCUGAAGAUAAUGUCGACACAUCUGAAUCAUCUAGAGCCCGUACCGACACCUUUCUCCUAUAAAAUCAACUCCUACUAGCUUAAACUCUUCAACAGUUCGCCACAUCAAGAACAACUUUCUUUUUGUUUAUACAAGCUAGUAGUCUCACCAAGAAUUCGAAGAUGCAUCACGGUGAUCAUCACGGCGGACCACCACACCACGGAGGAGGUCCGGGAGGAGGUCCGGGAGGUCCAGGAGGCGGCCCUCAACAUGGUCAUGGUCAUCAAGGAGCUCCGGGAGGAGGGCAUGGAGGACCAGGAGGAGGAGGGCAUGGAGGGCAAGGAGGAGGAGGACACGGAGGACCAGGAGGAGGAGGACAUGGAGGAGGAGGAGGAGGAGGACGAGGGGGGAGGAGGAGGACAUGGAGGAGGAGGAGGAGGAGGACGAGGGAGGAGGAGGAGGAGGACAUGGAGGAGGAGGAGGACGACGGAGGGCAUGGUGGUCACUGAUCAUGGCGCUAGACUACGUAUACUACUUGUGGUGUACUAGCUGGCUGAAUAAGUCUCUCUAUGUGACUUCUGUAGUAUUGUUUGUGUGUUAUCAUUUCCUAGUUGGGUCGAUCAGAUCCUAGAUAGUGAAGCUAGCUAGGGGAGUCGAUCUUGUGUUUGGAGUCUGUUAAUUAAUGUAUGUGUAUGGAUGUGUAAUAAAACCAUACUAGCUAUGUAUUUGAUUCGAGGCUUAACAUAUAUUGCAUGCAGCUAUAUAUAUAUAUAUAUAUAUAAUAUCCUUAGAUGACUAAGAACAUAAGAAACAGAGCAGUACUAUUGAUGAUUUACAAGAUUCAAUUUGUAUAAGUGAUCUUUGGCUUGUCCUAAUUAACCAUCAAGCAAAGCGCUAAGAACGAACAUAUUAUAUAUACUGCCAGAUGAUCAAGCAACUUUGCAGAGGGAUCAUGACGAAAUGUCCAUCUAGCAGCUUAAAUGCUUAAUUAGAACAAUUUUGCAAAACAAACACAAACUUGUAUAAUACGGUACCGAAAAUAUAAGUAUAACCGUUUGAAAUGUCAAGUUUAUCAAUCUUAUGAAAUCGAAGUAUCGUAAAUCGAUAAUGAUCUUCUUCAAAACUAGAACGAGAAUGUAACGUGUCUAUAUGACACUAUAAAUGUCUACGAAAUCAUGCGUUAAGAACAUAAUAUUAUAUUCCUUCGUUUUUUACUAAAGAAUAUCAUUACCGUUAAGCUUUAAUUGACAUACGUACGAUUGUACUUUGUAGUGAUACAUCUAAUUAUAUUGGUCGUGUGGUGCCCUUAGUAUAUUAAAAGGAAAAAACUAAAGAGACCAAAAGGCCCAAAGGAAACCACAGAAAUUGUCAUAAAGGUACAAGUGCAGCCCAACUUUCNNNNNNNNNNNNNNNNNNNNNNNNNNNNNNNNNNNNNNNNNNNNNNNNNNNNNNNNNNNNNNNNNNNNNNNNNNNNNNNNNNNNNNNNNNNNNNNNNNNNNNNNNNNNNNNNNNNNNNNNNNNNNNNNNNNNNNNNNNNNNNNNNNNNNNNNNNNNNNNNNNNNNGUCCUGAUCAUCACCUUCCUUGCCUAUGCUUCCUUCCACGCCUCCAGGAAGCCCCCCAGCAUCGUCAAGAGUGUUCUUGGCCCCAAACUCCUGUCCAAUUCGAGCUCUUUCGACACCGGUUGGGCUCCCUUUAAUGGCCCUGAUGGCACUCACAGGCUUGGAGAACUUGAUCUUGCAUUUCUAUCUGCAUAUUCUAUUGGAAUGUAUUUUGCAGGGCAUGUUGGUGAUAGGAUUGAUUUGAGGUUGUUUCUUGCUUAUGGGAUGUUAGGGAGUGGAGUUUUGACUUGUCUUUUCGGGUUAGGUUAUUGGUGCAAUGUGCAUAUGUUGUGGUACUUUGUGGGUGUGCAAGUUGUGUGUGGGUUGUUUCAGUCAAUAGGGUGGCCUUCUGUUGUGGCAGUUGUGGGGAAUUGGUUUAGGGUUUAGACAGCGGCCAUCACACGCCGGCCACGGUCACGCACCACCCCCAGGUCCGGGACACCACGAGCCUCCUCCGCCCCAUGGCCAUGCUCCUCCUCCGGGGCCUCAUGCACCUCCUUCGGGACCCCAUACACCUCCUCCGGAACCCCAUGCACCUCCUCCGGGACCCCAUGCACCUCCUCAUGAUCCACACAAGCCACAUGACCCGCACCACGGUCACCACCACCCAUGAACCGAACUAGUCAUGAGGGAUCACGAAGCUAGCUAGUCUCAGCAAGUUGUUAUCUAUUUCUGCCUGUAAUGUGAUCUAGCUGCGCUUGUAGUUCUGAGUUGCUGGGUUUACUGGCUUUGCUCCAUUGAUCUCAUCGUUAUGUAAUGACUAAAAUAUGAUGACUAUGUAUGUAUCCAAAAGAAGGCUGAUCAUAUAUGUAUAAUAAGAAGAGUACUGGCUUUCUGGUUUAUGUAUAAUCCGCUUGUGUAAAACUUCUUCUCUGUUAUCGGUCUAAAUGUGAUGUAUGAUCAGAAAAUAUGGUCAGUUUGUCCUCUUGACCAACCUUAACUUACAAACUAAUUAAGUCAAUCUCCCCAAUUUCAUCAAUCUUUAUUAGGAUUUCAUCACUCAUUCCUUCACAGAUAAUUAACCACACAUCCAAGCUGCAUUUGCUCGAUUGCUCUUAACAAACUGUAAUAAUUAACCAAGAGGCAAACGCAUCCAUCUAAAGUCUAAAAAUUAAGUUAUUAACACAAGGUUAAAUUAUCCAUUGUUCAGACCAAUCUCACAGUUAGAGCGAUGAAUUGGCUAAAACAAAAACCUACGGGAGAAAAAGAAAGCAUGUCUAUUCAUACGGAUGAAUGACUUCCAUAUAUAGUAAGCCUUAUAGUUAUAACACCGUAAGUGUAUAAGAAUAGGAAUUCAUAAACACAAUAAGAAGAAGAUCGUGAAAGAGAUCGAAGAUUAAAGCAGGCCUUACUGUCUUACAUAUUCUGUACAACAUUUCAACUGCUAGAUUUUCUCGAUGCAUUCGUUAGCUUCUGUUUGUAACCUUUCUUCUGUCAAAUCCUCCAUAUACGAACUCAUGGCUUUUCACGAGCAAUAAUUCUUAAAAGGUCCCAUUAACAAGCCUCAAGUACGUUGUUCUUAUCUCCUUUUCCUUAGCUCACCAAGAAUUCAACUAUUCCCAAGUGCAGCAACUAGUUUCUGUGAUCGAUCUACGCAAAGUUAAAGUUAUUGCUCAAAAGAGAAAGAGAAAACGGAAGUUAAAGUUCCAUGCUGCCCUAGUUCAAGUACGCACUCAGUUAUGACCUUGUGGUUCUUACAAUGGAUGAAGCAUUACCAAACAAAUACUCAGAAGAGAAAAACAAAACAACCACAGUGCACGAUUAACAUGCUAGCUAGCUUUCAUUGUGUGCAAAUAUCCUGAGCUACCAUUCCACCAAAACAAGCUAAAUAAGUUUAUCCUUGUAUGGAUAUUAUGUGAAUCGAAAUAAUUGUAUAUUUGAUUCUUAGAUAUUAAGUGGCACCUAUUACAACGAAGCAUGUGCCAUGCAUUCUGAAGAUCAUGUCGACACAUCUUAAUAAUCUGGAGCCCGUACCGACACCUUUCUCCUAUAAAAUCAACUCCUACUAGCUUAAACUCUUCAACAGCUCGCCACAUCAAGAACAACUUUCUUUUUGUUUAUACAAGCUAGUAGUCUCACCAAGAAUUCGAAGAUGCAGCACGGUGAUCACCAAGGAGGAGGUCCGGGAGGUCCGGGAGGUCCAGGAGGAGGUCCGGGAGGUCCAGGAGGCGGCCCUCAACAUGGUCAAGGUCAUCAAGGGGGUCCGGGAGGAGGGCAUGGAGGACCAGGAGGAGGAGGACAAGGGGACCAGGAGGAGGAGGACAAGGAGGACCAGGAGGUGGAGGACAAGGAGGACCAGGAGGAGGAGGACAAGGAGGACCAGGAGGAGGAGGAGGAGGAGGAGGAGGACAUGGUGGUCACUGAUCAUGGCUCUAGACUACGUAUACUACUUGUGGUGUACUAGCUAGCUGAAUAAAAGUCUCUAUGUGACUUCUGUGUUAUCGUUUAUGUGUUAUCAUUUCCUAGUUGGGUCGAUGAGAUCCUAGAUAGUGAAGCUAGCUAGGGGAGUCGAUCUUGUGUUUGGAGUCUGUUAAUGUAUGUGUAAUAAAACCAUACUAGUUAUGUAUUUGAUUCGUCUCUUAGGCUUAACAUUGCAUGCAGCUAUAAUAUUCUUAGAUGACUAAGAACAUAAGAAACAGAGCAGUACUGUUGGUGAUUUACAAGAUUCAAUUUGUAUAACUGAUCUUUGGCUGUCCUAAAUAACCAUCAAGCAGCAAAGCUAAGAACGAACAUAUUAUAU
rnacentral:lncRNA from 1 species